ensembl:lncRNA
CUCCUCCGGUCCACGCCCAGGGAGGCUUGGGGAUCUACGGAUUAGGGAAGCCCUGGCUUAACCCAGCGGAUGCUAAGGGCCAGAGUUCGGAGAAGAGAGGAAGUCCUUUGACGUCUGCAGGACCCUUAUAGGACAGCCCUGCCUAGGCACAGAGACUGUGGGAGCCCCGCGCCACAUCCUGCAGGCAGGAAACGUAGUCUGCCUCGUAGCAAGAUGGAGCCAGGGAGGAGGGGAAGAGGCGAUGUGAUCGGAUUUGUACUUCACGAGGAUCUUCAGGAAGAUCACUAUGGCAACUGUGGGAAGAAGAGCCCGGGGGGAGGGGGGCUGCCAGUCUGAAGGCAGGGGACCAAGAAGGUAGCAGUGGCCCAGACCAUGCCUGCUGGUGGCUUAAACUAAUGUAGCAGAGGAGGGGGAGGGACUCAGAAAGAAGUGAACAGAUGCCAAGGCCAAGUGAUGGACUGGAGGUGGGCAGGUCGGGGUGGAAGAGAGCUGAUAAGGAUUCCCAGGUCUCUGGUUUGGGCAACAGGGUGAAAGAGCAGGUCUCAACCUCCAGCAGAAAGGUGGUGUCUCACCCAACAAGGGGAACAUGAAGGAGAAGCAGGCCUGGGAAGUGGGGCUGACAAGUCUGCAGCUCCGGACAGAGGCAGGGCUGAAGACAGGGCAUCCAGGGAGCCAGCCGUGGGCAGGGCUGGGCAGCUGGUUCAGCUGCCUGGAGCACAGGUCCAAGGAGCUGGGUCCUCCGUAUAUUGUCCUGACCCAGGCCAGCUGGCUCACCGGAUUGAGCUGGUCACCUCUGUGAGCAAUCAGGACUCCAUACAGACGGGAGCCGUCUGAGAAGCCGUCUGUAGAACGUGAAUUGUCCUCCUUACACACAGGAGGCUGGAGCAUUGCCUUGCCUGCCCCAACAUCCAGACCUCCCUGGGCAGCCUGAGUAAGCCACAACAGCCUCAGAAAGAGCCUUGAGUCAGAAAAACCGAGAGACACAGCGACUGAGGGGAGACACUGCCGGCGUGCUCAGGAACCAUCCUCCACAGGCAGCUGAAAUUACAGGUGGUCCAAGGGGAUGGGGCCGGGAACACAAAAGGCGUCUGCUGUCACAGCUCAUCAUAAGUCUGCCACUUCCAUUCCUAAUAGAGAAGAGGACCACUGCACCAAUGCUGAGGGGAUGACCCACUAGAGCUGACACUUGUGUUUACUGUGGGACAGGCACUGUUCUGAAUGCCUUACCUUCCAGCCACACAAUCACAGUUUACAGGUGAGGAAGUGAGCCACAGUGCUAAAAUGUGGCGGGCCUGGGACUAGGCCCUACACCCAAAGGUACCAGUGGUUGUACUUCAACCUCUACGCUAUUCUGCCUUUGGGUGUUAAUAGCAGGGGCCUGACAGUGAGGUACCAGCAUAGUGCCUGACACAGAGGAGCAGCUCCAAAAUGGGAGGGCGGUCCACCCCCUUUAGCCAUUCCUUAAUGUCCUCUUUUACUUGGCUGAGAUUUGCAGGAAAGUGGGAUGAGUGUGUAGCAGCUAAUUCAGGACAGGCGCCAAGGUCCUGGCCUCCACACAGGAGUUCCUUAGAGGCAGCUGGAGUGAAUCUCAGAAGUCUUCCUGCAGGAGGCAGCCUUCAACUGCUUGUAGGAGACUUCCUGUAGGAAGCAGCCCUUAGGUAAGGAGGGGGCUGGAAUGGAUGCUCAUUCCACUUCCAGGGGAAGUCCUCAGAGAUCAGGCAUGACGCAUACUGGCAGGGCACAACCAGGGCAGCAGCAACGACAAUCACAAGAGCCGUGUACUCUUCCACACUGACCAGGGUUUUACUUUUCCAAAUGCAUUCACGUGUAUUCUCCUCUUUGAUCCUAAAAAAUGAGAUUUUUAAUACACACUGACAAUGAAUGUUAGUUUCCUUCCUUCCUUCUUCUCUCUCUUCUAACCUUAUGAAGCAAGGGUGCCAGGGGCAAAUUUUAUCCUUCCUAUUUUACAAAUAAACUGCUGCACAGAAAGGUCAAGCGAGUGGCCUGGUAUCAAACAGUUCUGCAUGCUAAGACUAAAGCCCAGACUACAGCCACAGUCGGAUGCUCUGCCUUGCACGCCUCUGUGCGGGGUGAGGGAUGCUUGGCCAUGGGCCUAUAGAUGUGAGAAGCACCAGCAGAACUGCUCUAGGAAAGGGCACAGGGCGGAGCCUUCAGGUCCUGAAUCCUGUGCCACUCCCUCAACUUUCUUGGUGUGAACAGUUAAUCACCACCACCACCACCCACUUCUGAAACAGACCUCCUGUCAAGUUGGGCAGCCUCCAGCAGAUAUGUGGAUAUAUGGAUGUGCCCUAAGUGUCUGCAAGCUCUGCUGGACUGAACCCAUGUUCCUAAGACCAGGAAUUGAGCCCAGAGGCCUGCACUCAGCUACCAGUGAAAGCAGGCAGCAGACGGGAAUGGUGGUUUGUGGAGUCAGACGGUCUUGAGUUCUGUUCCAGCCUCGACACUUACUAGCUAAAUGACCCUGGACAGGGACUUGUCCUUUCUGAGUUUCAGUAUCUUCAACUGUAAGAUAAAGUCAGUAGCGUCUUUCCCAUGGGUUGCAAG